AAGACUAUAGACCUGCGGAGUACCUGCGGAGGGAUCAUUACCGAUUCUAAAAAGGAUGUGCUGGCUCCUUAGCAAGUGCACUCCUUUAAACCUCAUACCCCUGUGAACCUUUUGUAGUCUAGCAUUCAAAGGAGAACUUUAGUUCUUCUGCUAUGACUAUGUUUUUAUACACUCUUUUAUAAAUGUAUAGAAUGUCUAUAGACCUUAACAAGUCUAAUAAAUGAUAAUAUAACUUUCAAC
rnacentral:misc_RNA from 1 species